UCAUGUCAGUAUCCGUUAUCCCAACACGUUUCAUUUUUAGUUCCCAAACAACUCUCCCUCGCAAACUCGCCAUGAAAGCUUAGCAGCACAACUGCACAAGUAGUAAUAGUGUUACUUGUUUGCCGCCAAUAUUUUUCUAGGGUUUCCAAUUUGGGGUUGAAGAAUGGGCGUUCCUGUCUUCAAUCUUGCUCCUGAUUUAACGGUCUCAAGGCUCUGCCUAGGAACCAUGACAUUCGGUGAGCAGAACUCACUGUCCCAGUCCUUCGGCCUUCUCAGCCAGGCCUUCCAUUCUGGAACCAGCUUUUUCGACUCCGCUGAAAUGUAUCCGGUGCCUCAGCGUGCUGAGACUCAAGGGAAGAGUGAGGAGCACAGUGGCCGGUGGAUUAGGGAGACUAAGAUCCCCGUGAUCGCAUUAUCUUGGCGACAAAGUUUAAAGCGACUGCGAACUAAUUACAUUGAUCUCUAUCAAAUUCAUUGGCCUGAUCGGUAUGUUCCAAUGUUCGGAGAAACAGAGUAUGAUCCAACUCGGCAGUUCUCUUCAGUAUUUAUAGAGGAACAACUUGAUGCUCUAGGCAGAGCUGUUGAUGCUGGCAAGAUCAGGUGCAUUGGACUCAGUAAUGAAACACCAUAUGGUGUCAUGAAAUUCCUGCAGAUUGCUGAACACAUUCCUGGCCAUCCUAAGAUAAUAUCUGUGCAGGUGUUAAUUAUGCUUUAGAACAGAAUGGCUGAGUGCUGUGAUCAUGAGAGGUAUUCCAUGUGCUUGUUAAGGAUCAGGUUAUUAUCCUACGGCCCUCUAGCAAUGGUGGGAAUACUUUCUGGGAAGUGCUUCUCACCUGAUGGUGGUCCAGAACAUGCUAGGAUGAAUCUUUUUAAAGGGAAGUAUCAAGAAGGGGAAUCCAGGUACAGCCUGUCCAAUGCCAUCUUGAAAGCAGCUGCAAAGGAAUAUCUUCAUAUUGCAGAAGAGUAUAGUCUUCAUCCAGUGUCUCUUGCAAUUGCCUUUGUUCUAAGACACCCUCUAGUUGCCAGUGCUGUUUUUGGAGCCACCAAAUCAUGGCAGCGCCAAGAGGUUCUCAAUACAUGCAAUGUCAAGCUCACAUCCAAAGUAAUGGCAGAAAUUGACAAGGUCCACGCAAGGUUUCCAAAUCCUUGUCCUUGAUCAAUACAUUUAAUUCCCAAAUUCUUGUCACUGCCUUGUUCAUUACCUUCUAUAUUACUAAUAAAUGCGGAUCAGAUGGGAGAAGAUGUCAAUUUCUGAGAGGGGUAAUAUUCAAAACAUCAGAUUAUAGUUUUCUUGGAUAGGUCAGUCAGACUAUUAGUCUUCUUGAAUGGAUCUACUGUUUUAAACCGUGACCAAGUGAGAAAAGCAUACUCGAUCCUAGGGCAUGAAACCUUCAAUUGAAAAAGGUAAAAGUCAGGAGGGCCCUCACCCAUGUAUCUCAGUUUUGUGAUUAUUAUUGUUAUUAUUAUUAUUAUUAAUGCAAAUGGACCCCUCAAAGUGGACAAAUUUGAAGGCA